GAGUGCGAUCAUACCUACACUAAAGCAUCGGAUCCCAUUAGAAUUCCAAAGUUUAGUGUGCUUGGGCGAGACUAGUAUUAGGAUGGGUGACCCCUUGGGAAGUCCUCGUGUUGCACUCC